CGUCCGUUUUGGUCCAAAUAUAACCGAAGGACUAUCCAGAAGUUCCCCUGGGCAGUUCCAAAAAAGGCAGAAAAGCUGGUCUUGUUCUCCCUCUACCCCAGCCCAGGAUGAAUUUAAUGGGGACACGUCUAGACAGGGGCAACCCAGGGAUUCACCUGGCCAUUCUAGAUGCUGUCCUUUCCCAUCUCACUUCAAACACAAAUAAUCCAGGCCUUCUCCUAGCCAGUCCCACCUCCAGAGCAGAGAGCACAGACGUUCUACAUAUCCAUCCUGUUACUCUACCAGACAAGAUUCAUCCAGGGCUUCUACUUGCCAGUCCCAACGGAGCCAAGAGCAUCGCAGCUCUCACCCUCCCAUUCCCUCCACUAGACCAGAGUUGUUUCCCAUGAAUAAUGCCAAACUUCAGAAGUGUGUCCUAACUAAAUUGGAGAUAUUGGAGGAGGUGAAACGUGUUGGGAGAGCAGAGCCCCAAGACUCUUUGAGUUCCAUGUCAAGAGGAUGGAGAUGGAGCAAGACUUUGACCAACUAGAGAAGCAGCUCCAAGGUGUGGAUGCACAGAAUCUGAUGGUGAAAGUGAAAUUUAUUUUGUAGAUUUGUAAGCAUUUUUCACACAAGCGAUACAAAAAGUGAUGCCCGUAGAAUUUUUUUUUUAAAGUACUCAUACUGAGACAGUGGUUACUGCAUAACUUCUGGUGUUUCAAACAAAGUCUCUUGACACAGAUUGCAAGGUUAAGCAAAAUUGGUGUUAAGGACACAAAGGACUGUGCCAACAAGGUCAUGGUAUGUCAUAUCUUCAGAAUGGAUCCAAUAAGAAAGUCAUUUUAAAGGUAUUGUUAGUGAUACAAACUGUCUGCAACAAAGACAGUAAAUCCAGCCUUAUCUCCUCAGCAGUUUGAAAGUGUUCAAUUCACAAAGUACAUCCUAUGUGUGCUUGACUUUCAGGCUCUUUACCAAUGGCCUGAUGUCCUUGUUCAACUUCAAUGGCCAUCACGCAAGCGAGGAUUAGGAAACACAACUGUGUACUCUGUUGUCAACAGUACCUACAAACAUGUCAUUAUUCUGUAGUAUAUUUUGUAUUAAUAACUGGGUGGUUUGAGCCCUGAAAGCUGAUUGGCUAACGGCCAUGGUAUAUUUAAGCAAUAAUACAUGAGAGCCCAUGUGUUAUGAUGACAUUUUUAUCAUGGCUGAGUGUCAUAGCCAUAAAAGCAAAGUCCUCUGGGUUUUGUGGUACCGUAACCACACAAUACAUGGUUAACAGUCUGUAUCCAGGCACCCUGAGUUGCGUUGUGCAUAAGAAAAGCCUUUACUACACCUUCCCAUUGCUUAAAGGAUCACUAAGGUUGCGCAAUCAAAAUGACCUGCUCUGUCUGUUUUAAUAGGCUAGAUUAUUAUUUUGUCUUCUAAAACAAUUAUUCAUUUGCAUGGUGGUAAUUUGUGUAGUUGUCACGUUCUGACCUUAGUUCUUUUGUUAUUGUCUUUGUUUAGUAUGGUCAGGGCGUGAGUUGGGUGGGUUGUCUAUGUUCCUUUUUCUAUGAUUUGGGAUUUCUGUGUUUGGCCUGGUAUGGUUCUCAAUUAGAGGCAGCUGUCUAUCGUUGUCCCUGAUUGAGAACCAUACUUAGGUAGCCUGGUUUCACUUUUGAGUUAUUUUCUGUGUUAAUGUUUGUGACACACGGGACUGUUUCGUUUGUUUCACUUUGUUAUUUUGUAUUUUGUAGUGUUCAGUUUUACAUAUUAAAAUGGACACUUACCACGCUGCAAAUUGGUCCGAUCUCUCUUACUCCUCAUCAGAAGAAGAGGACGAGCGUUACAGUGGUCCCUUUUUGAGAAUAAUGGUUUUAGGAGCUUGGCAAUUUUGAAUGAGGUGAUCAUGUGACCUUAAUGGCCUUUUAACCUAUUGACGCGC
ensembl:lncRNA